rnacentral:rRNA from 1 species
UGGGGAAUAUUGGGCAAUGGACGCAAGUCUGACCCAGCAACGCCGCGUGAAGGAAGAAGGCUUUCGGGUUGUAAACUUCUUUUAUGAGGGACGAAGGAAGUGACGGUACCUCAUGAAUAAGCUCCACGGCUAACUACGUGCCAGCAGCCGCGGUAAUACGUAGGUGGCGAGCGCUAUCCGGAUUUACUGGGUGUAAAGGGCGUGUAGGCGGGAUUGCAAGUCAGAUGUGAAAAUCUAUGGGCUCAACCCAUAGCCUGCAUUUGAAACUGUAGUUCUUGAGUGCUGGAGAGGCAAUCGGAAUUCCGUGUGUAGCGGUGAAAUGCGUAGAUAUACGGAGGAACACCAGUGGCGAAGGCGGAUUGCUGGACAGUAACUGACGCUGAUGCUCGAAAGUGUGGGUAUCAAAUCAGGAUUAGAUACCC